GAUUUGUUAGCUCAGCUGGUAGAGCACAUCCCUUUUAAGGAUGGGGUCCUGGGUUCGAGCCCCAGACAAAUCA
rnacentral:tRNA from 1 species